rnacentral:rRNA from 1 species
CACGCCGUAAACGAUGAAUACUAGGUGUGGGGGGACUGACCCCCUCCGUGCCGGAGUUAACACAAUAAGUAUUCCACCUGGGGAGUACGGCCGCAAGGUUGAAACUCAAAGGAAUUGACG